UUCUCAGUAAUCGUUCAAUUUCCAAGUAAAACAAAAGGCAUUAGGCAUCUCGUGAAUCUCCCUUCUAACGCAUCGAAACACAACGCACAACAAGUUAUCAAACCUCAAGAUUUUGAAGAACCCCAAAAUAUGCAAUAAUAAACUUUACGAAACAAUCGACUCAGCUUACCUUGAAGCACACCGGAACGAAGCAAUUUACACAGG
rnacentral:lncRNA from 1 species